rnacentral:rRNA from 1 species
GCAAAAGUGUUAAGUGCCCGCCUUGGGGAGUACGGUCGCAAAGGCUAAAACUCAAAGGAAUUGACGGGGGCUCACACAAGCGGUGGAGCAUGUGGCUUAAUUCGAAGCAACGCGAAGAACCUUAUCCUGGGUUUGACAUGCAAGGAUUAGCCCGGUGAAAGCCGGGUGACACCCUCGGGUGGAACUUGCACAGGUGCUGCAUGGCUGUCGUCAGCUCGUGCCGUGAGGUGUUAGGUUAAGUCCUUUAACGAGCGAAACCCCUGUCGCUAGUUGCCAGCGCGUAAUGGCGGGGACUCUAGCGAGACUGCCGGCGUCAAGUCGGAGGAAGGUGGGGACGACGUCAAGUCCGCAUGGCCUUUAUGCCCAGGGCUGCACACGUGCUACAAUGGCCGGUACAGAGCGACGCAAUGCCGCGAGGUGGAGCAAAUCGCGAAAACCGGCCCCAGUUCAGAUUGCAGGCUGCAAUUCGCCUGCAUGAAGUCGGAAUCGCUAGUAAUCGCGGAUCAGCACGCCGCGGUGAAUACGUUCCUGAGCCUUGUACACACCGCCCGUCAAGUCAUGGAAGCUGGCAGCACCUUAAGUCGCCGCGAUUCAGCGGUGCCCACGGUGAGGCUGGUGACUGGGACUAAGUCGUAACAAGGUAACCGUA